rnacentral:rRNA from 1 species
GAUGAACGCUAGCGGCAGGCUUAAUACAUGCAAGUCGAACGGGAUUUAAGGUAGUAAUACUUUAAUGAGAGUGGCGCACGGGUGCGUAACACGUAUGCAACCUACCUUUAACUGGAAGAUAGCCCCGGGAAAUCGGGAUUAAUAUUUCAUAACAAUGCGCUGUGGCAUCACAGCACAUUUAAAGCUCCGGCGGUUAAAGAUGGGCAUGCGCGACAUUAGCUAGUUGGUGAGGUAACGGCUCACCAAGGCUACGAUGUCUAGGGGUCCUGAGAGGGUUAUCCCCCACACUGGUACUGAGACACGGACCAGACUCCUACGGGAGGCAGCAGUAAGGAAUAUUGGUCAAUGGGCGCAAGCCUGAACCAGCCAUGCCGCGUGCAGGAAGACGGCCCUAUGGGUUGUAAACUGCUUU